rnacentral:lncRNA from 1 species
AUGAUCUAUUUCUCCGUGCUAUCUACCUAUGUUACGUAACAGCCGUCCUUACCUUAGGCUUUAAAACUUUCUGCGGAAGUGUUGGAUUGCAAGGACGUGGGAGGCGAGGGCGGCUAAGCGUUAGGAGCGAGAUCGUUAGACGCGGUACAGGAAAUCGGAGUUCGAAGACGUAAGUCGAGAACGGUGACAGCAGAGUCUUGAGCGCUCAAACACUGGUAUAGUGAUACGAAAGUGUCUGGACGAAGCACUUCACCAGGUUGGCUUGUAAGCCAACCUGGUGGCCGCAUUUAAUUAAAUGCGACCCACCUACCGCCAUCUCCAUUCCUGCAGUCUUGCUGUCUUACGCUAGGUUGUGAUAGCGCAACAGAAAGUGAGCUCGUACAGUUAACGAGUAUGGUUCGUAACCACGGGACCGUACCGUUACUGUGAUUAAGCUUUAAUAGCUUAAAGAUAUUCUAAAGUAAAUGUAGCUUGCUAAACCUAUCCAUCUAUGUGUGUAUAUGUACAUAUAUAUGUGUAUAUAUACUAGAGAUAUAUAUACUAGAGAUAUAUAUAUACUAUAUAUACUAGAGAUAUAUAUACUAGAGAUAUAUAUACUAGAGAUAUAUAUACUAGAGAUAUAUAAGAUGACCCUGCCUAUAGAUUAUAACAUGACUUGCGGACGUGGUCAGUACUAGUGCAUCACCGGUACCAGAUCAAUAUGGACAUCAAUCUGAUGAUGCAUCGAUGCGAGCAUCGAUGCUCGCUCAGCAGCAGCUGUAGCUGCAGCGAGCCACACAUUGAUAAUCAACUGCAGCUGAUGAGUGGGUAGGAUGGCAUGCAUAUGGGUUCACAAAACAUACUACAUGGAUGUGCAAGUCCUGCUGGACAUGCUCCAGCGAUAACAUACAUUACAACCGGAUGCGAAAUAAUCUUAUCAGUACAGGUUUUAUUAUACGUCGCUGCCGUACACACAUACAUACAUACAUAUAUAUACGUAAUACGUAUGUAUAUAUAUGUAUAUAUAUACAUAUAUAUACAUAUAUAUACAUAUAAAUAUACAUAUAUAUAAUAUCUUAAAGUCAUAACAUGUGUAGAUCCAUAUAUGUAUUUACAUGUACAUACAGAAAAUGCAUGUAUAUGCAUAGAUCGGCAUAUAGUUAACAACCAAUGAAUCGCAAAGUUAUCAGGAAACAGCCUGCAUGUAUCAAAUCCCAGGCGACUGAUCUUUCAUUAAUUUUGUGACAUGUAUUGCUUAUGUAGGUGGCUGUAUCUGUGCACAUACAUAAUAAGAACUAUUACCACUGAUUCCGGUGUGUAUGCAUGCGUGUGUAUAUGUAUAUGUACAUAUCUAUGCGGUAGAGAUUUCUCCCUAAUUAUCAUAGGUUCUCUAGGUAAUCAAUUAUUAGUUAGAACAUGCAUGCCAUAUGGCCGCGCGCAGUCCAGUGCAGAGAGUCUCCCCGGCGGAUACACAUGUAUCCAUGUUAUUUCUGUAUAGCCAUUUAGAGAACGUUCCUGUCCUGAUAUCCUGUCCCGCGAUAUCGAGCGAGGUCUCCAUAGGCCAAAAGGGUCUAGACCCUCUGCUUCCGCUAAAACAGCUAAGGUAAGAGACGGCUGUUACAGUAGGAUGGCAUGCAUAUGGGUUCACAAAACAUACUACAUGGGUGUGCAAGUCCUGCUGGACAUGCUCCAGCGAUAACAUACAUUACAACCGGAUGCGAAAUAAUCUUAUCAGUACAGGUUUUAUUAUUCGUCGCUGCCGUACGCACACAUACAUACAUACAUAUAUAUACGUAAUACGUAUGUAUAUAUAUACAUAUAAAUAUACAUAUAUAUAUAAUACCUUAAAGUCAUAACAUGUGUAAAUCCAUAUAUGUAUGUACAUGUACAUACAGAAAAUGCAUGUAUAUGCAUAGAUCGGCAUAUAGUUAACAACCAAUGAAUCGCAAAGUUAUCAGGAAACAGCCUGCAUGUAUCAAAUCCCAGGCGACUCAUCUUUCAUUAAUUUUGUGACAUGUAUUGCUUAUGUAGGUGGCUGUAUCUGUGCACAUACAUAAUAAGAACUAUUACCACUGAUUCCGGUGUGUAUGCAUGCGUGUGUAUAUGUAUAUGUACAUAUCUAUGCGGUAGAGAUUUCUCCCUAAUUAUCAUAUGCAUAGGUUCUCUAGGUAAUCAAUUAUCCCCAUCAGUAGUCGUUAGCUGGAACAUUAGUUAGAACAUGCAUGGCCGCGCGCAGUCCAGUGCAGAGAGUCUCCCCGGCGGAUACACAUGUAUCCAUGUUAUUUCUGUAUAGCCAUUUAGAGAACGUUCCUGUCCUGAUAUCCUGUCCCGCGAUAUCGAGCGNNNNNNNNNNNNNNNNNNNNNNNNNNNNNNNNNNNNNNNNNNNNNNNNNNGUAGCAGCUACAUUUGCCUUAGAAUAUCUUUAAGCUAUUAAAGCUUAAUCACAGUAACGGUACGGUCCCGUAUUUACGAACCAUACUCGUUAACUGUACGAACUCACUUUCUGGUACGCUAUCACAACCUAGCGUACGACACCAAGACUCCAGGAAUGGAGAUGGCGGCAGGUGGGCCGCAUUUAAGCCACCCAGGUGAAGUGCUUCGGCCAGACACUUAACGUAUCACUAUACUAGUGUUCAGGGUUCAAGACCUUGCUGUCACCAUUCUCGACGUAUGUCUUCGAAUCCCGACUUCCCUUGUCUCUUCUCACGCCUAACGCUGGGUCGCCAAUCGUGGACGAGACCCUCUGCUUCCGCUAAAACAGCUAAGGUAAGAGACGGCUGUUACAGUAGGAUGGCAUGCAUAUGGGUUCACAAAACAUACUACAUGGGUGUGCAAGUCCUGCUGGACAUGCUCCAGCGAUAACAUACAUUACAACCGGAUGCGAAAUAAUCUUAUCAGUACAGGUUUUAUUAUUCGUCGCUGCCGUACGCACACAUACAUACAUACAUAUAUAUACGUAAUACGUAUGUAUAUAUAUACAUAUAAAUAUACAUAUAUAUAUAAUAUAUAUAUAACCUUAAAGUCAUAACAUGUGUAAAUCCAUAUAUGUAUGUACAUGUACAUACAGAAAAUGCAUGUAUAUGCAUAGAUCGGCAUAUAGUUAACAACCAAUGAAUCGCAAAGUUAUCAGGAAACAGCCUGCAUGUAUCAAAUCCCAGGCGACUCAUCUUUCAUUAAUUUUGUGACAUGUAUUGCUUAUGUAGGUGGCUGUAUCUGUGCACAUACAUAAUAAGAACUAUUACCACUGAUUCCGGUGUGUAUGCAUGCGUGUGUAUAUGUAUAUGUACAUAUCUAUGCGGUAGAGAUUUCUCCCUAAUUAUCAUAUGCAUAGGUUCUCUAGGUAAUCAAUUAUCCCCAUCAGUAGUCGUUAGCUGGAACAUUAGUUAGAACAUGCAUGGCCGCGCGCAGUCCAGUGCAGAGAGUCUCCCCGGCGGAUACACAUGUAUCCAUGUUAUUUCUGUAUAGCCAUUUAGAGAACGUUCCUGUCCUGAUAUCCUGUCCCGCGAUAUCGAGCGAGGUCUCCAUAGGCCAAAAGGGGGAGUUGUGGGAAUCGAACCCACGGNCUCUCGCACCCAAAGCGAGAAUCAUACCACUAGACCAAACUCCCACAUGCCCCAGCGCUGCGCAAUAUAAUAUGUCGUCUGGAACAGCAAGUAGGUCUGGAUCCAACACACAGAAGGGUUCUCCCUUAACUGGUUCUGGUGGCUGUGGAUUGGCUGACCCGAUGGUGCUGAACGGCGUGGUUUGGACGAUUUUGGCGAGAAUUGCACCUCUGCCUCGGGCCUUACGUAUACACAGCAGGAAGAGCAAACAGCCAAGCCUAACGGUGGCCNNNNNNNNNNNNNNNNNNNNNNNNNNNNNNNNNNNNNNNNNNNNNNNNNNACAUCGAUCUGAUGAUGCAUCGAUGCGAGCAUCGAUGCUCGCUCAGCAGCAGCUGUAGCUGCAGCGAGCCACACAUUGAUAAUCAACUGCAGCUGAUGAGUGGGUAGGUGUAGCAAGCUACAUUUGCCUUAGAAUAUCUNUAAGCUAUUAAAGCUUAAUCACAGUAACGGUACGGUCCCGUAUUUACGAACCAUACUCGUUAACUGUACGAACUCACUUUCUGGUACGCUAUCACAACCUAGCGUACGACACCAAGACUCCAGGAAUGGAGAUGGCGGCAGGUGGGCCGCAUUUAAGCCACCCAGGUGAAGUGCUUCGGCCAGACACUUAACGUAUCACUAUACUAGUGUUCAGGGUUCAAGACCUUGCUGUCACCGUUCUCGACGUAUGUCUUCGAAUCCCGACUUCCCUUGUCUCUUCUCACGCCUAACGCUGGGUCGCCAAUCGUGGACGAGACCCUCUGCUUCCGCUAAAACAGCUAAGGUAAGAGACGGCUGUUACAGUAGGAUGGCAUGCAUAUGGGUUCACAAAACAUACUACAUGGGUGUGCAAGUCCUGCUGGACAUGCUCCAGCGAUAACAUACAUUACAACCGGAUGCGAAAUAAUCUUAUCAGUACAGGUUUUAUUAUUCGUCGCUGCCGUACGCACACAUACAUACAUACAUAUAUAUACGUAAUACGUAUGUAUAUAUAUACAUAUAAAUAUACAUAUAUAUAUAAUACCUUAAAGUCAUAACAUGUGUAAAUCCAUAUAUGUAUGUACAUGUACAUACAGAAAAUGCAUGUAUAUGCAUAGAUCGGCAUAUAGUUAACAACCAAUGAAUCGCAAAGUUAUCAGGAAACAGCCUGCAUGUAUCAAAUCCCAGGCGACUCAUCUUUCAUUAAUUUUGUGACAUGUAUUGCUUAUGUAGGUGGCUGUAUCUGUGCACAUACAUAAUAAGAACUAUUACCACUGAUUCCGGUGUGUAUGCAUGCGUGUGUAUAUGUAUAUGUACAUAUCUAUGCGGUAGAGAUUUCUCCCUAAUUAUCAUAUGCAUAGGUUCUCUAGGUAAUCAAUUAUCCCCAUCAGUAGNNNNNNNNNNNNNNNNNNNNNNNNNNNNNNNNNNNNNNNNNNNNNNNNNNAGCUGUAGCUGCAGCGAGCCACACAUUGAUAAUCAACUGCAGCUGAUGAGUGGGUAGGUGUAGCAAGCUACAUUUGCCUUAGAAUAUCUUUAAGCUAUUAAAGCUUAAUCACAGUAACGGUACGGUCCCGUAUUUACGAACCAUACUCGUUAACUGUACGAACUCACUUUCUGGUACGCUAUCACAACCUAGCGUACGACACCAAGACUCCAGGAAUGGAGAUGGCGGCAGGUGGGCCGCAUUUAAGCCACCCAGGUGAAGUGCUUCGGCCAGACACUUAACGUAUCACUAUACUAGUGUUCAGGGUUCAAGACCUUGCUGUCACCGUUCUCGACGUAUGUCUUCGAAUCCCGACUUCCCUUGUCUCUUCUCACGCCUAACGCUGGGUCGCCAAUCGUGGACGAGACCCUCUGCUUCCGCUAAAACAGCUAAGGUAAGAGACGGCUGUUACAGUAGGAUGGCAUGCAUAUGGGUUCACAAAACAUACUACAUGGGUGUGCAAGUCCUGCUGGACAUGCUCCAGCGAUAACAUACAUUACAACCGGAUGCGAAAUAAUCUUAUCAGUACAGGUUUUAUUAUUCGUCGCUGCCGUACGCACACAUACAUACAUACAUAUAUAUACGUAAUACGUAUGUAUAUAUAUACAUAUNAAUAUACAUAUAUAUAUAAUACCUUAAAGUNNNNNNNNNNNNNNNNNNNNNNNNNNNNNNNNNNNNNNNNNNNNNNNNNNCCGAUGGUGCUGAACGGCGUGGUUUGGACGAUUUUGGCGAGAAUUGCACCUCUGCCUCGGGCCUUACGUAUACACAGCAGGAAGAGCAAACAGCCAAGCCUAACGGUGGCCGCGCGGCCCAACCGGCCAGCAGGCCGCCCGUAGCGACGGGGGCCGCGCGCCCGACCGCGGCGCGACACACCAGACAGCCAACGGUCCGGCACGCACCGCGAAAGGGCGCCAGCGCCCAACACCAAAACCCAACCUCGGCACGACAGCACUGCUGACCCUAAGUAACAGAGGCACUGCAGCACCCGCGCGCCCCAAAGACCUUCAUGAUCUAUUUCUCCGUGCUAUCUACCUAUGUUACGUAACAGCCGUCCUUACCUUAGGCUUUAAAACUUUCUGCGGAAGUGUUGGAUUGCAAGGACGUGGGAGGCGAGGGCGGCUAAGCGUUAGGAGCGAGAUCGUUAGACGCGGUACGGGAAAUCGGAGUUCGAAGACGUAAGUCGAGAACGGUGACAGCAGAGUCUUGAGCGCUCAAACACUGGUAUAGUGAUACGAAAGUGUCUGGACGAAGCACUUCACCAGGUUGGCUUGUAAGCCAACCUGGUGGCCGCAUUUAAUUAAAUGCGACCCACCUGCCGCCAUCUCCAUUCCUGCAGUCUUGCUGUCUUACGCUAGGUUGUGAUAGCGCAACAGAAAGUGAGCUCGUACAGUUAACGAGUAUGGUUCGUAACUACGGGACCGUACCGUUACUGUGAUUAAGCUUUAAUAGCUUAAAG